CGGUAAAAAGCUCGUAGUUGGAUCUCAGUUCAUGCUAAGUGGUCCACCUUAAUGGUGGUUACUGCUUAGCUGAGCAUUUUACAGAUUUGUCUCCUGAUGCUCUUCACCGAGUGUCAAGAGUGGUCUGUACGUUUACUUUGAAAAAAUUAGAGUGCUUAAAGCAGGCAACUCGCCCGAAUAAUCUUGCAUGGAAUAAUGGAAUAGGACCUUGGUUCUAUUUUGUUGGUCUCCGGAAUCUGAGGUAAUGAUUAAGAGGGACAGACGGGGGCAUUCGUAUUGCGCCGCUAGAGGUGAAAUUCUUGGACCGGCGCAAGACGAACUACAGCGAAAGCAUUUGCCAAGAAUGUUUUCAUUAAUCAAGAACGAAAGUUAGAGGUUCGAAGGCGAUCAGAUACCGCCCUAGUU
rnacentral:rRNA from 1 species